rnacentral:rRNA from 1 species
UUUGAUCAUGGCUCAGGAUGAGCGCUAGCGGCAGGCCUAGCACAUGCAAGUCGAGGGAUAAGCCCUUCGGGGUGGAAAACCGGCGCACGGGUGCGUAACGCGUAUGCAACCUACCUUUCACAGGGGGAUAGCCCGAAGAAAUUUGGAUUAAUACCCCAUAAUAUUGUUGGAUGGCAUCAUCUGAUAAUUAAAGUUACGAUGGUGAAAGAUGGGCAUGCGUCCUAUUAGCUAGUUGGAGUGGUAACGGCACCCCAAGGCUACGAUAGGUAGGGGUCCUGAGAGGGAGAUCCCCCACACUGGUACUGAGACAGGGACCAGACUCCUACGGGAGGCAGCAGUGAGGAAUAUUGGUCAAUGGUCGAAAGACUGAACCAGCCAUGCCGCGUGCAGGACAGACGGCCCUAGAGGUUGUAAACUGCUUUUAUAUGGGAAGAAUAAGGAGCACGUGUGCUUUGAUGACGGUACCAUAUGAAUAAGCAUCGGCUAACUCCGUGCCAGCAGCCGCGGUAAUACGGAGGAUGCGAGCGUUAUUCGGAAUCAUUGGGUUUAAAGGGUCUGUAGGCGGGCUAUUAAGUCAGGGGUGAAAGGUUUCAGCUUAACUGAGAAAUUGCCUUUGAUACUGGUAGUCUUGAAUAUCUGUGAAGUUCUUGGAAUGUGUAGUGUAGCGGUGAAAUGCUUAGAUAUUACACAGAACACCGAUUGCGGAGGCAGGGGACUAACAGAUGAUUGACGCUGAGAGACGAAAGCGUGGGGAGCGAACAGGAUUAGAUACCCUGGUAGUCCACGCUGUAAACGAUGGAUACUAGCUGUUUGGCGUAAGCUGAGUGGCUAAGCGAAAGUGAUAAGUAUCCCACCUGGGGAGUACGCACGCAAGUGUGAAACUCAAAGGAAUUGACGGGGGCCCGCACAAGCGGUGGAGCAUGUGGUUUAAUUCGAUGAUACGCGAGGAACCUUACCAAGGUUUAAAUGAGAACUGACAGGGGUAGAGAUACCUUUUUCUUCGGACAGUUUUCAAGGUGCUGCAUGGUUGUCGUCAGCUCGUGCCGUGAGGUGUCAGGUUAAGUCCUAUAACGAGCGCAACCCCUAUUGUUAGUUACCAGCACGUAAUGGUGGGGACUCUAGCAAGACUGCCGGUGUAAACCGCGAGGAAGGUGGGGAUGACGUCAAAUCAUCACGGCCCUUACAUCUUGGGCUACACACGUGCUACAAUGGUCGUUACAGAGAGCAGCCACUGCGCGAGCAGGAGCGAAUCUAUAAAGACGGUCACAGUUCGGUAUCGGAGUCUGCGAACUCGACUCCGUGAAAGCUGGAAUCGCUAGUAAUCGGAUAUCAGCCGUGAAUCCGGUGAAAUACGUUUCCCGGGCUCUUGUACCCACCGCCC